AACACAAUACUUCAUGUAUGGAAGCAAAUCUAUAACAUAAUUCAAAUUUAAAUGGAUUAACAGAAAUGCUUUUUCAUUUUCUGAAAAUAG